GUGCUCACUCUGGAAGCACAUAGACUAAAAUUGCAACGAUACAGAGAAUAUUAAUAUGGCCCUUGCAAGAGAAGGACAUGCAAAUUUGUGAAACAAUCUGUGUUUUU